rnacentral:rRNA from 1 species
ACGUGGGUAACCUGCCUGUAAGACUGGGAUAACUCCGGGAAACCGGGGCUAAUACCGGAUGGUUGUCUGAACCGCAUGGUUCAGACAUAAAAGGUGGCUUCGGCUACCACUUACAGAUGGACCCGCGGCGCAUUAGCUAGUUGGUGAGGUAACGGCUCACCAAGGCGACGAUGCGUAGCCGACCUGAGAGGGUGAUCGGCCACACUGGGACUGAGACACGGCCCAGACUCCUACGGGAGGCAGCAGUAGGGAAUCUUCCGCAAUGGACGAAAGUCUGACGGAGCAACGCCGCGUGAGUGAUGAAGGUUUUCGGAUCGUAAAGCUCUGUUGUUAGGGAAGAACAAGUGCCGUUCAAAUAGGGCGGCACCUUGACGGUACCUAACCAGAAAGCCACGGCUAACUACGUGCCAGCAGCCGCGGUAAUACGUAGGUGGCAAGCGUUGUCCGGAAUUAUUGGGCGUAAAGGGCUCGCAGGCGGUUUCUUAAGUCUGAUGUGAAAGCCCCCGGCUCAACCGGGGAGGGUCAUUGGAAACUGGGGAACUUGAGUGCAGAAGAGGAGAGUGGAAUUCCACGUGUAGCGGUGAAAUGCGUAGAGAUGUGGAGGAACACCAGUGGCGAAGGCGACUCUCUGGUCUGUAACUGACGCUGAGGAGCGAAAGCGUGGGGAGCGAACAGGAUUAGAUACCCUGGUAGUCCACGCCGUAAACGAUGAGUGCUAAGUGUUAGGGGGUUUCCGCCCCUUAGUGCUGCAGCUAACGCAUUAAGCACUCCGCCUGGGGAGUACGGUCGCAAGACUGAAACUCAAGGAAUUGACGGGGGCCCGCACAAGCGGUGGACAUGUGGUUUAAUUCGAAGCACCCGAAGAACUUACCAGGUCUUGACAUCCUCUGACAUCCAAAGAGAGACCGUCCCCUCGGGGCUAGA